AGACCACCGGAGAGGAAAGAUGUAAGCUGCCCAGCUGAGAAAGAUUGCUUCAUCGGCGUAGAGGCUUAUGGGGUACAGAAACUUCAGUCAGUCAACUUCCUAUUGCCUACAAAAUGUAGGACUCUCAACUAUUCCUCCACGUCUGCCUGCAUGCCGUCUUGCUCCCCACCAAGAUGCUAACGAACUGCCAUCUGAAACUGGAAGUGAGCCCCUCAAUGAAAUGUUUUCCUGAAUAGAGUUGCUGCAGUCAUGGUGUCUCUUCACAGCAAUUGAAACCUCAAGGCUAUUUCAGCAUCAUAGUGCUGUGUGGUGUUAUCUCAGAUAAAAGAUGCAGGUGUCGCAGUUGCAGCCAUAUGGUGGAGGGAUGCAGAGGAGAUGCUCCCUCCGGUGUCUCUGGGAUUGUUUGCCAUCGCCUACAUAGAUACCAACAAAUAUGCUUUGUUUAACAAAAUUAGAGCAGUUAUUAAGGACAAUUAAAGUGAUUCUGAGAGUUGGGGGUUAGAAUGAGAAGGAAGCCCAAAGCUUUCCGUCAGUUGCAAGCUGUGAACUGUGUGCCACCAGUGGCAGAAGCACCACAGGGAUCACCAACUGGAAAAGCAGCGGCAUGUGGAUUGCAAGCCACGGACAAGGAAGUCAGGUUCCUAAACAGUGGCAGAUGGGCCACUGGGAGCAUGGUCCUGGUAAGCGUGGACUCAGCCCCAUGUUGGGCACCAGAUGAAGCUGAAUGUGUCCGAUGAGGGGAAUGCAAAUCAAAUAUCCCACGCUAGCUCCAAGUAGGGUAUACUAAGGUCUUUCUUUAUUUAAAGGGAACUCAUAGAUUAUAGCAAGAAAAUAGGAAUGGAGUUUGACAUCCAGGUGGGACUGUGACUUUUUGGUACCUAAAGUUACUCCACAACCUGAUCCAGCCUCUCAAAGGCCAUUGGCUAAAGGAGGGUCCCCAUCACCCAUCCUGUCCCUCUUACAGUUGGAAACAUGUCUAGUCCUCCUCACACCCCAAUAUCAAGACCCAAGGGUAACUUUGUUCCUUUGUAGUGAUUCAUGGAACAUAGGCAAAACUCUUCCCACCCAUAAAAUGCAGAAAUUUUGCUUUCUGUACCUGAGGGCUCUCUCUCUUCAGGGCACCAUCAUGACUGCCAUGGUA